AGAAGGAUCUGUACAAAUUAAAGCUAAUUAAACCUCUAAUUAUGGACAUAAUUAGUUAACUGUUGCUGCAUAUAACUCCACAUAUGAGUAUCUGAUCCAAUUUGUUGCAGGCCAAGAGUUUUGGGAAAAGGUUAAUAUGGCUCCAAUUUUACCACCUGUGUAUAAGAGACCAGCCCAUAGUCCUAAACAAAAGAGAGACCCAAGGUCAGAUGCACCUGCAACCAAUCCUGAUCCAUACAGAACAAAGAGAAAAUACGGCCAGAUCACUUGCAAAUAGUGCCUAAAGAUGGUCAUAAUGCAAAGACUUGUGAAGUUAAGAAAAAUGCUAUGGCAGGUAACAGAGGGCCACCACCUCAAGGAGCACCAGUGGAUAUAGAUGAGGAUGAUGAACUACAACAAGAGAUGUACUGGGAGGAGACGUUGGAAGUAGCGGAAGCAGAGGCCUCCAAUGAUAAUGCUUCAAAUACUGCAUCACAGGCCACCCACCACAAAUGUCACUACAAGUGGUGGAGGUAAUAAGAAGCUACCCAAUAGGAGAUCAACUAGGAGGCCUCCAGGUUCACUUGAAACAAGAUUCCAACCUCCUCGCCCUACCAACACUGCUCGUAGGGCUGCCGCACCCAACGCUGCUCCAUCCACAAAUCAUAUCAGGCCCACACUGAGCUGUCAAAUCAUGCAGCAUGCUAGCCGUGGAACUACCACAAGGUUUAUACAGUUCAUGUCAACUUCAUCUAUAGGGGGCAAGCUCAUCUACAGCUAGAUGGCCAUCACCUGCAUUUAGGCCACCUACAAAUAUAUUAGGAAAUGGACUCUCAAGCGGAAGCAGCAAAUCUACACCAAACUGAUGAGUUGACUGAAAAAAUAUGUGUUUAUUUUGAGUUCAAACACUAGUUAUGUGUAUGUUGAACUAGAAAUUGGCUACAUAGUUAUGUUUAUUUUGGGUUCCAUUACUAGUUAUGCUUAUGUUGGUCUAGACACUAGCUAUGUAGUUAUGUUUAUUUUGGGUUCAAAAACUAGCUCUUUUGUGAAGACAUUUGCUAUGUUAUGACUACUACUAUUUACCUACUUGGAUUAUAAUGUUGUUGGCUUUUCCAUAUGGUCUAUACGUUUUCUUAUGUUCUGACUCUAUCUGUAUUUGCGUAUUGCAGGUUAUAUCAUGAAAACUGCAUCGAUGUCAUAGUACAAUUAAAAUAAGGAUA